CAGAUGCAGGAGGAGUUGGACAGGAGUAUAACUAGAGAACUAGAAGAAGUUGAUGCUGAAUUUGCAUCUAAUUCCUUUAGAGUGUCUCCUUGAGGAUCUACAGAUGGGUCAAAUGUAUAUGAGGACCUACUAUGGAAAACAUCACAAGAAUAUGUACAGAUUUUGAGGAAAAAAGAUAUGAUUUGAAUGAUGAAUAGUAAAAGUUUCCCUACGGGACUGUUUACAGGAAGUUUUCAUUGUUUCCCAUUAAACCUGAUGAGAAAUUCUUUAUUAAAGGAAAAUAUUUUCAUA